rnacentral:tRNA from 1 species
CGAUGGGCUGGGUGACGGCCUCGGCCACGCCGCUGCCGAAGGCGCGGAUCAGUUCUUCACGGCUCACGGUUCUUCUCCGUCUUCUUCGUC